ACGAGUAUUCUUGGGUGAAUAAU
rnacentral:miRNA from 9 species